rnacentral:rRNA from 1 species
CAGUCGCCACGGUAAUACGGAGGGUGCAAGCGUUAAUCGGAAUUACUGGGCGUAAAGCGCACGCAGGCGGUCUGACAAGUCAGAUGUGAAAUCCCCGGGCUUAACCUGGGAACUGCAUUUGAAACUGUCAGGCUGGAGUCUUGUAGAGGGGGGUAGAAUUCCAGGUGUAGCGGUGAAAUGCGUAGAGAUCUGGAGGAAUACCGGUGGCGAAGGCGGCCCCCUGGACAAAGACUGACGCUCAGGUGCGAAAGCGUGGGGAGCAAACAGGAUUAGAUACCCGGGUAGUCCCUGUCUCUUAUAU